rnacentral:rRNA from 1 species
UUAAGAUACUAAGAGCAUACGGUGGAUGCCUUGGCGAUAUCUGCCGACGAAGGACGUGACAAGCUGCGAAAAGCUGCGGAGAGAUGCAAAUAAUCGGCGACCCGCAGACAUCCGAAUGGAGCAAUCCGGCUGUGAUGAUGCACAGCCAUCCAUGCCCAAGAGCAUGAGAAGGGAACCGGGCGAACUGAAACAUCUAAGUAACCCGAGGAAAAGAAAUCAAACGAGAUACCCCAAGUAGCGGCGAGCGAACAGGGAAGAAGCCCAAACCGGUGAAGGAAACUUUACCGGGGUUGAGGACCAUCAGACCCGCGAAGAACCUUAGCCGAAACUGUUGGGAAACAGUGCCGAAGACAGUGAAAGCCUGGUAGGCGAAAAAGAGAAACGCGGAGAUGGCACCAGAGUACCGCGGGACACGAGAAAUCCCGUGGGAAGCCGGGGGGACCACCCUCCAAGGCAAAACACAGAUAUCGACCGAUAGCGCAUAGUACCAUGAGGGAAAGGUGAAAAGCACCCCGGGAGGGGAAUGAAAGAGAACCUGAAACCGUAUGUUUACAAGCAGUCGGAGACCGCUUAAUAAUAAGGUCGACGGCGUGCCUAUUGAAGAAUGAACCGGCGAGUUACGAAGCCUGGCAAGGUUAAGCAGGAAAUGCGGAGCCGAAGCGAAAGCGAGUCUUAAGAGGGCGCAAGUCAGGAAGCGUAGACCCGAAACCACAGUGAUCUACCCAUGUCCAGGUUGAAACACAGGUAAAAAUGUGUGGAGGACCGAACCUAUAUCCGUUGAAAAGGGUUAGGAUGAGGUGUGGGUAGGGGUGAAAUUCCAAUCGAACGUGGAGAUAGCUGGUUCUCCCCGAAAUAGCUUUAGGGCUAGCCUCAGGGAAAAGAUUGCAGGCGGUAGAGCACUGAUCAGGAGAGGGACCUACCCGGUUACCAAACCCAGUCAAACUCCGAAUGGCUGCAAUCAUACCUGGGAGUCAGACUGCGACUAAUAAGGGCCGCAGUCAAAAGGGAAACAGCCCAGACCAUCAGCUAAGGUCCCCAAUGCCGUGCUAAGUGGCGAAGGAUGUGGCAUUUCAUAAACAACCAGGAUGUUGGCUCAGAAGCAGCCACCAUUUAAAGAGUGCGUAAUAGCUCACUGGUCGAGAGACGCUGCGCCGAAAAUGUCCGGGGCUCAAGCACGGAACCGAAGCUAUGGCAUGAUAGCAAUAUCAUGGGUAGGGGAGCGUUCUUAUAAGGAAGAAGCAUGACCGGAAGGACAUGUGGACAAAUAAGAAGUGAGAAUGCCGGUAUGAGUAUCGAAAAGAAAGGUGAGAAUCCUUUCCACCGAAAGCCCGAGGGUUCCUGAGCAACGAUCGUCGACUCAGGGUAAGUCGGGACCUAAGCCGAGGCGGAAAGCGUAGGCGAUGGACAACAGGUUGAAAUUCCUGUACCGGAUCAAGUCGAUCGAGCGAAGGAGCGACGCAGGAGGGCACAUGAUCGCGCGGCUGGAAGAGCGCGUCCAAGUGCGUAUGUUGCAGCAGAGGAAAACCCCUGCAGCUAAAAGCAGAGACAUGAUGGGGAGUUAAAGGAAACUUUGACGAACUCAUGGAUCCCACACUGCCAAGAAAAACUUCUAGCGAGACAAGAUCCGCCCGUACCGUAAACCGACACAGGUAGGCGGGGAGAGAAUCCUAAGGUGCGCGGGAAAACCCUCGUUAAGGAACUCGGCAAAUUGCAUCCGUAACCUAGGGAGAAGGAUGGCCCCCGGUCAGUGAAGAGCAGAAACGCUCAGAGCUAAAAGGGGCGGCAGAAAAGAGGCCCAAGCAACUGUUUACCAAAAACACAGGUGCCUGCGAAAGCGAAAGCUGAAGUAUAGGUGCUGACGCCUGCCCGGUGCCGGAAGGUUAAGGAGAGAAGUUAGCGAAAGCGAAGCAUCGAACUGAAGCCCCGGUGAACGGCGGCCGUAACUAUAACGGUCCUAAGGUAGCGAAAUUCCUUGUCGGGUAA